rnacentral:rRNA from 1 species
UACGUAGGGACCAAGCGUUGUUCGGAUUUACUGGGCGUAAAGGGCGCGUAGGCGGCGAAUCAAGUCAGCUGUGAAAUCUCCGAGCUUAACUCGGAACGGUCAGCUGAUACUGUUUUGCUAGAGUGCAGAAAGGGCAACCGGAAUUCUUGGUGUAGCGGUGAAAUGCGUAGAUAUCGUAAGGAAGACCAGUGGCGAAGGCGGGUCUCUGGACAGUUCCUGACGCUGAGGCACGAAGGUCAGGGGAGCAAACGGG